rnacentral:rRNA from 1 species
GACGUAGGGGGCCAGCGUUGCUCGGAAUUACUGGGCGUAAAGGGUUCGUAGGCGGUGCGGCAAGUCGGAAGUGAAAUCUCUGGGCUUAACUCAGAGGCUGCUCCCGAAACUGCCGUGCUUGAGUGCGGGAGAGGCGAGUGGAAUUGCAGGUGUAGCGGUGAAAUGCGUAGAUAUCUGCAGGAACACCCCGUGGCGAAGGCGGCUCGCUGGACCGCAACUGACGCUGGAGACGCGAAAGCGUGGGGAGCGAACAGG